rnacentral:rRNA from 1 species
CGCCUCUUGAUUCAUGAUAAGAGGUCUAGCCUGCCCAGUGAAUUUUUAACGGCCGCGGUAUCCUGACCACGCGAAGGUAGCAUAAUCACUUGUUCUUUAAAUGGGGACUUGUAUCAACGGCAUCACGAGGGUUUUACUGUCUCCUCUCUCUAAUCAGUGAAAUUGAUCUUCCCGUGAAGAAGCGGGAAUUCCUAUAUAAGACGAGAAGACCCCAUGGAGCUUCAAACCAAAUAGCAACUUAACCACAUACCCCCUAAUAAUCUUAAGUUCGUGCCAUUAGGUUUUUGGUUGGGGUGACCGCGGAGUAAAACAUAUCCUCCACGACGAAAAGACCACAAUCUUUAUUUAAGGGCGACAGCCCUAAAAAUUAGCACACUAACGUUUACUGACCCGAUAUUCGAUCAACGGAACAAGUUACCCUGGGGAUAACAGCGCAAUCUACUUUGAGAGCUCAUAUCGACAAGUAGGCUUACGACCUCGAUGUUGGAUCAGGGUAUCCUAGUGGUGCAGCCGCUACUAAGGGUUCGUUUGUUCAACGAUUAAAACCCU